rnacentral:rRNA from 1 species
GAUGAACGCUAGCGGCAGGCUUAAUACAUGCAAGUCGAGGGGUAACAUGGGGUAGCAAUACUCUGAUGACGACCGGCAAACGGGUGCGGAACACGUACGCAACUUUCCCAAAACUGGUGAAUAGCCCUCCGAAAGGAGGAUUAAUACACCGUAACAUAACGAGGUGGCAUCAUCUUGUUAUUAUAGCUCCGGCGGUUUUGGAUGGGCGUGCGCCUGAUUAGGUAGUUGGCGGGGUAACGGCCCACCAAGCCUACGAUCAGUAACUGGUGUGAGAGCACGACCAGUCACACGGGCACUGAGACACGGGCCCGACUCCUACGGGAGGCAGCAGUAAGGAAUAUUGGUCAAUGGACGAAAGUCUGAACCAGCCAUGCCGCGUGAAGGAUGAAGGCCCU